rnacentral:lncRNA from 1 species
UGAGAACCAGGAGCAGCAAUGUGCAAGGGUGGGCAAAAGAAGAUGGAUUUCUCAAGCACAAACAGGAAGCAAACUUGCCCUUUCUCCACCUUUUGUUCUAUUCAGGCCCUCAAGGAAUUGGAAGAUGCAUACUUCGAGUGACUUUCUUCACUCAAUCCACUCAAAAUGUGUAACCUAAUUAGCAAAUUUGGGAUGAUAUGAGAGUUUUAUUUUGUUGGUAUUUUCUAGUUUAAUUCUGUUGUACUCAGAGAUACUACUCUGUGAAAUUUCAAUUAUUUUACAU